rnacentral:rRNA from 1 species
GAGGGGCGAACGGGUGAGUAGCACGUGGGAAAUCUGCCUAGGAGUGGGGGAUAACAUUCGGAAACGAAUGCUAAUACCGCAUAUCUUUUUGAACCGCAUGGUUCUUAAACGAAAGACGGCUUCGGCUGUCGCUCUUAGAUGAUCCCGCGGCGUAUUAGUUAGUUGGUGGGGUAAAGGCCUACCAAGACCAUGAUACGUAGCCGACCUGAGAGGGUGAUCGGCCACACUGGGACUGAGACACGGCCCAGACUCCUACGGGAGGCAGCAGUAGGGAAUCUUCCACAAUGGGUGAAAACCUGAUGGAGCAAUGCCGCGUGAAUGAAGAAGGUCUUCGGAUCGUAAAGCUCUGUUGUUGGUGAAGAAGGAUAGAGGUAGUAACUGGCCUUUAUUUGACGGUAAUCAACCAGAAAGUCACGGCUAACUACGUGCCAGCAGCCGCGGUAAUACGUAGGUGGCAAGCGUUGUCCGGAUUUAUUGGGCGUAAAGCGAGCGCAGGCGGAAAAAUAAGUCUAAUGUGAAAGCCCUCGGCUUAACCGAGGAACUGCAUCGGAAACUGUUUUUCUUGAGUGCAGAAGAGGAGAGUGGAACUCCAUGUGUAGCGGUGGAAUGCGUAGAUAUAUGGAAGAACACCAGUGGCGAAGGCGGCUCUCUGGUCUGCAACUGACGCUGAGGCUCGAAAGCAUGGGUAGCGAACAGGAUUAGAUACCCUGGUAGUCCAUGCCGUAAACGAUGAGUGCUAAGUGUUGGGAGGUUUCCGCCUCUCAGUGCUGCAGCUAACGCAU